rnacentral:misc_RNA from 1 species
CUGUGAUUCAAAUUAAGCAAAGUCUCAAACGGUUGCGCAGAAAUGAUGGAAAUUUCUGUAAAAAUGAAGAGGCUUCACUCAAAACUGAUCUAAUUGGGUUUCCUUCUUCGCUUGUUUUAGGAGAAAAGCUUCUCAUCACUAGGCUGAUGUGGGCUACUGAAAUCCCUAAAAUAAAGCAAAAUAAGAACUUUCCCACUACAAGUGUCUGUUUGAUUCAACGAUUACAGUCAGCAGUUAAUCAUUAGCUAUUGCACG